AAAAUUUUAAGUUAAAUUUAAAACUAAUAAUCUUCAAAAUUAUAAAUAUAUAAAUAUAUAUAAGUUUUA
rnacentral:tRNA from 1 species